GCCUGGGUGGCUCAGCCGGUUAAGCGCCUGCCUUUGGCUCAGGUCAUGAUCUCGAGGUUCGUGAGUUCGAGCCCCGCUUCAGGCU
rnacentral:tRNA from 1 species